rnacentral:lncRNA from 1 species
CCAAGUUAACAACUUCAUAGUAUGCGGUUAACCAAACAGCUAGCAAACAAAAGUAGAACAUUUUAUAAUCAGGAGUGCAUUAUUAUUAUUAUUUUUUUUUUUUUUGUAACUAUCAGGAGUGCAUUAUUCAUUUAACAAUAAACGUUGAACGUGAUCAUAGACAUGAUCAACAAACAUUUUGAGCAAAUGCAAAAUUUAUUAAUAAUGAAUUAGCUUCUUUAGGCAUUAUCACAACCUGUCAUGUUCCACUAGUGUUGCAUCGAUUUCCUAUCGACUAAAUUUUGUGAAACAGGUCCAUCAAUUCUUAUUUAAAAAAAAAAAAAACUAACCCUAGAAGAUUCCCUCUCUCAAA